rnacentral:rRNA from 1 species
UUCUGAAGGGAGGGUGCCCGCAAGGGAGCUUUAGCACAGGUGCUGCAUGGCUGUCGUCAGCUCGUGUCGUGAGAUGUCGCGUUAAGUCGCUUAACGAGCGAAACCCUUGUCCUUAGUUACCGGCGGGUCAUGCCGGGAACUCUAAGGUGACUGCCGGUGACAAACCGGAGGAAGGUGGGGAUGACGUCAAAUCAUCAUGCCCCUUAUGACCUGGGCUACACACGUGCUACAAUGGAUGGUACAAAGGGCUGCAAAACCGCGAGGUCGAGCCAAUCCCAUAAAACCAUUCUCAGUUCGGAUUGUAGGCUGCAACUCGCCUACAUGAAGCUGGAAUCGCUAGUAAUCGUGGAUCAGCAUGCCACGGUGAAUACGUUCCCGGGUCUUGUACACACCGCCCGUCACACCACGAAAGUUUGUAACACCCAAAGUCGGUGGGGUAACCGUAAGGAGCCAGCCGCCUAAGGUGGGACAGAUGAUUGGGGUGAAGUCGUAACAAGGUAACCGU